GCUGGAAGAUCAAGAAGGUUGCGUCUGAUGAAGCAGGACUUGGCUAAUACACUCCUCCUAGACAAAGGAGCAGAUCAAGUAACUCUUACUAGAGAAACCACAGCGUUGGCUGUACCACCCGACAUUU